AGAGUUUGAUCAUGGCUCAGGACGAACGCUGGCGGCGUGCUUAACACAUGCAAGUCGAGCGGAAAGGCCCUUCGGGGUACUCGAGCGGCGAACGGGUGAGUAACACGUGAGUAAUCUGCCCCUAGCUCUGGGAUAGCUCCGGGAAACCGGGAUUAAUACCGGAUAUGACCACUACGGACAUCUGUUUUGGUGGAAAGAAUUUCGGCUAGGGAUGAGCUCGCGGCCUAUCAGCUUGUUGGUGGGGUAACGGCCUACCAAGGCGACGACGGGUAGCCGGCCUGAGAGGGCGACCGGCCACACUGGGACUGAGACACGGCCCAGACUCCUACGGGAGGCAGCAGUGGGGAAUAUUGCGCAAUGGGCGAAAGCCUGACGCAGCGACGCCGCGUGGGGGAUGAAGGCCUUCGGGUUGUAAACCCCUUUCAGCAGGGACGGAGCGAGAGUGACGGUACCUGCAGAAGAAGCGCCGGCUAACUACGUGCCAGCAGCCGCGGUAACACGUAGGGCGCAAGCGUUGUCCGGAAUUAUUGGGCGUAAAGAGCUCGUAGGCGGUCUGUUGCGUCCGCUGUGAAAACUCGGGGCUUAACCCCGAGCCUGCAGUGGAUACGGGCAGACUAGAGGUAGGUAGGGGGAGAAUGGAAUUCCCGGUGUAGCGGUGAAAUGCGCAGAUAUCGGGAGGAACACCGGUGGCGAAGGCGGUUCUCUGGGCCUUACCUGACGCUGAGGAGCGAAAGCGUGGGGAGCGAACAGGAUUAGAUACCCUAGUAGUCC
rnacentral:rRNA from 1 species